rnacentral:rRNA from 1 species
GUGUCAGCAGCCGCGGUAAUACGAAGGGGGCGAGCGUUGUUCGGAAUUAUUGGGCGUAAAGGGAGCGUAGGCGGUUCGAUAAGUCACUUGUGAAAUCUCUGGGCUCAACUCAGAGUCUGCAAGCGAAACUGUCGGGCUUGAGUAUGGGAGAGGUGAGUGGAAUUCCUGGUGUAGCGGUGAAAUGCGUAGAUAUCAGGAGGAACACCUGUGGCGAAAGCGGCUCACUGGACCAUUACUGACGCUGAUGCUCGAAAGCUAGGGGAGCAAACAGGAUUAGAUACCCUGGUAGUCC